UGUAAGCGUAUACCAAAGUUGUUGCAGUUAAAACGCUCGUAGUCGGAAUUUGGCAGUUCCGGAUGUGUGCACGUCGUGUGCGCACUUCGCGGGGAUUGCUUUUGUGGUUUUGCGUAGGAUGAGGCACUUUUAUUAGUGAACGUCCUCACGCAACCACUUUUUACUGUGAGAAAAUCAGAGUGCUCAAAGCAGGCAUUUGCCGUGAAUGUAUUAGCAUGGAAUAAUAGAAUAGGACUUGGUUCUAUUUUGUUGGUUUGUUGGGACUGAGUAAUGAUUAAGAGGGACAGUUGGGGGCAUUUGUAUUUCGGUGCUAGAGGUGAAAUUCUUAGAUUACCGAAAGACAAACUGCUGCGAAAGCGUCUGCCAAGGAUGUUUUCAUUGA
rnacentral:rRNA from 1 species